AAUAAAUGGAAAUUUUGAAAAAUUUAAAUGCAAAAUCGAAAUUUGGGGAAAAUAAAAAUGUCAUAGGGCUCUAUAUAGGCCAGUUUUUGCACCUGCUCCUUAAGAGUGUGAUUUACAGAUUUAAAAAUCAUUUUUAAAUACAUUUUAACAAUCUUUGCUACUGUCACAAGUUCUGGCAACAACGUGUACUUGAUCAUAUUAGUCCACACUUUCUAAAUCUUCUAGAUAGAAGCUGUGGAAGCACAGACGCGUGCAUUUUUAUUAUAUUUCUCUCUCUUUUAGUAGUUCUGAUUGAAGUCAGCUGUGUUUCUCCUCAGGAGCUGUGUCAAGUGCUCCAGCAGCCGGAUGUUAAGGUUCUGAAAAACUACAUGAAGGUUUUCUUCCAGCAGGCCAGACUUUAAAACUGAAAUUGUCAGGCGGAGCGUUUUGGGAGCUCAGCAGUCAACAGACCACCAUAACGACAGAGUUUAGCGUAGGAGCUACUUUUGCACUUAAAGAAGCGUAACCACACCCUUCCUGUCUGCGGGACACGGACCCCCGACGGGAGUCACACGGGGAUUGGCUGUCACGUGACGUGACCACGCCCCCACACCGACCUUGGCCCAAUCAGAGUUGUGCUCUCCAUGAGGUUUAGCCGCCCGGGCCGGAGGCGACGUCUGCGAUUGGAUGAGACGCCAUACUGUAGGAGGAGUUUGUGAAAGGUGGGCGGGGCUUCAGUCCUGGACACAAUUUCAAGGGAAAACGGCAUUUCCGUUUGAAAUACAACAGUUUUGGUAAUUGUUUGGAAAUAUGACUUAACUGUUACAGGAAAUUCUAGAAUUAAUUACAAUUUUUUUUGUGUGUUUGUUCGAGAAAUCUGGAUUUUUCUCAAAUCUCAUCUUAAGAAGGGCCGGUUAUAUUUAAUUGCUAAUUUUUCUUUUUUUUUUUUACAUGC